rnacentral:tRNA from 1 species
AUUACUUUGGCAGACAAGUGCAAUAGAUUUAGAAUCUAUAAAUGGAAGAAGACUUUCAGGUAAUA